rnacentral:misc_RNA from 1 species
UUGAGAAAGAGGUCAGGCAAAUAACAAAGAAUAGAUUCAGAACAUGAGUCCUCCUAGACAGUACAAACACCUUCCAUUUUGGUUUUGGUUGGGGGUGUUGUUCAAGUAAAUUUCCAAAAAUUAAGUAGUUAAAUCCCCACAAAACGCCAACCAUAAAUCUACAACAAAAACAGAACUUCGCUUCUGUGAAAGAAUAUCACGCUAGGAAAAUUUCACAAACAAAAGCCAAUGGGGGGAAAAAUAAUUCUUUGUUUCUUUGUCAAAGGCUGCCACGCAUCUUUCUGAUGCUUGCUUUGCGCUGAUAGUAGCAA